rnacentral:rRNA from 1 species
UACAGAGGUCCCAAGCGUUGUUCGGAUUCACUGGGCGUAAAGGGUGCGCAGGCGGGCUUUUAAGCCAGACGUGAAAUCCCCGGGCUUAACCUGGGAAUGGCGUUUGGGACUGGGAGUCUGGAGUGCGGCAGAGGAGACUGGAAUUCCUGGUGUAGCAGUGAAAUGCGUAGAUAUCAGGAGGAACACCGAUGGCGAAGGCAGGUCUCUGGGCUGACACUGACGCUCAUGCACGAAAGCGUGGGGAGCAAACAGG